rnacentral:rRNA from 1 species
GGGUUGUGAGGUUAAGCGACUAAGCGUACACGGUGGAUGCCCUGGCAGUCAGAGGCGAUGAAGGACGUGCUAAUCUGCGAUAAGCGUCGGUAAGGUGAUAUGAACCGUUAUAACCGGCGAUUUCCGAAUGGGGAAACCCAGUGUGAUUCGUCACACUAUCAUUAACUGAAUCCAUAGGUUAAUGAGGCGAACCGGGGGAACUGAAACAUCUAAGUACCCCGAGGAAAAGAAAUCAACCGAGAUUCCCCCAGUAGCGGCGAGCGAACGGGGAGCAGCCCAGAGCCUGAAUCAGUGUGUGUGUUAGUGGAAGCGUCUGGAAAGGCGCGCGAUACAGGGUGACAGCCCCGUACACAAAAAUGCACAUGCUGUGAGCUCGAUGAGUAGGGCGGGACACGUGGUAUCCUGUCUGAAUAUGGGGGGACCAUCCUCCAAGGCUAAAUACUCCUGACUGACCGAUAGUGAACCAGUACCGUGAGGGAAAGGCGAAAAGAACCCCGGCGAGGGGAGUGAAAAAGAACCUGAAACCGUGUACGUACAAGCAGUGGGAGCCUCUUUAUGGGGUGACUGCGUACCUUUUGUAUAAUGGGUCAGCGACUUAUAUUCUGUAGCAAGGUUAACCGAAUAGGGGAGCCGAAGGGAAACCGAGUCUUAACUGGGCGUUAAGUUGCAGGGUAUAGACCCGAAACCCGGUGAUCUAGCCAUGGGCAGGUUGAAGGUUGGGUAACACUAACUGGAGGACCGAACCGACUAAUGUUGAAAAAUUAGCGGAUGACUUGUGGCUGGGGGUGAAAGGCCAAUCAAACCGGGAGAUAGCUGGUUCUCCCCGAAAGCUAUUUAGGUAGCGCCUCGUGAACUCAUCUCCGGGGGUAGAGCACUGUUUCGGCAAGGGGGUCAUCCCGACUUACCAACCCGAUGCAAACUGCGAAUACCGGAGAAUGUUAUCACGGGAGACACACGGCGGGUGCUAACGUCCGUCGUGAAGAGGGAAACAACCCAGACCGCCAGCUAAGGUCCCAAAGUCAUGGUUAAGUGGGAAACGAUGUGGGAAGGCCCAGACAGCCAGGAUGUUGGCUUAGAAGCAGCCAUCAUUUAAAGAAAGCGUAAUAGCUCACUGGUCGAGUCGGCCUGCGCGGAAGAUGUAACGGGGCUAAACCAUGCACCGAAGCUGCGGCAGCGACGCUUAUGCGUUGUUGGGUAGGGGAGCGUUCUGUAAGCCUGUGAAGGUGUGCUGUGAGGCAUGCUGGAGGUAUCAGAAGUGCGAAUGCUGACAUAAGUAACGAUAAAGCGGGUGAAAAGCCCGCUCGCCGGAAGACCAAGGGUUCCUGUCCAACGUUAAUCGGGGCAGGGUGAGUCGACCCCUAAGGCGAGGCCGAAAGGCGUAGUCGAUGGGAAACAGGUUAAUAUUCCUGUACUUGGUGUUACUGCGAAGGGGGGACGGAGAAGGCUAUGUUGGCCGGGCGACGGUUGUCCCGGUUUAAGCGUGUAGGCUGGUUUUCCAGGCAAAUCCGGAAAAUCAAGGCUGAGGCGUGAUGACGAGGCACUACGGUGCUGAAGCAACAAAUGCCCUGCUUCCAGGAAAAGCCUCUAAGCAUCAGGUAACAUCAAAUCGUACCCCAAACCGACACAGGUGGUCAGGUAGAGAAUACCAAGGCGCUUGAGAGAACUCGGGUGAAGGAACUAGGCAAAAUGGUGCCGUAACUUCGGGAGAAGGCACGCUGAUAUGUAGGUGAAGUCCCUCGCGGAUGGAGCUGAAAUCAGUCGAAGAUACCAGCUGGCUGCAACUGUUUAUUAAAAACACAGCACUGUGCAAACACGAAAGUGGACGUAUACGGUGUGACGCCUGCCCGGUGCCGGAAGGUUAAUUGAUGGGGU